rnacentral:rRNA from 1 species
AUUGAACGCUGGCGGCAUGCCUAACACAUGCAAGUCGAACGCCCCGCAAGGGGAGUGGCAGACGGGUGAGUAACGCGUGGGAAUCUACCUAGUUCUACGGAACAACACAGGGAAACUUGUGCUAAUACCGUAUACGCCCUACGGGGGAAAGAUUUAUCGGAAUUAGAUGAGCCCGCGUAAGAUUAGCUAGUUGGUGGGGUAAUGGCCUACCAAGGCGACGAUCUUUAGCUGGUCUGAGGGGAUGAUCAGCCACACUGGGACUGAGACACGGCCCAGACUCCUACGGGAGGCAGCAGUGGGGAAUAUUGGACAAUGGGCGCAAGCCUGAUCCAGCCAUGCCGCGUGAGUGAUGAAGGCCUUAGGUUGUAAAGCUCUUUCAGUAGGGAAGAUAAUGACGGUACCUACAGAAGAAGCCCCGGCUAACUUCGUGCCAGCAGCCGCCGUAACAC